GUCAAAGGAACGCACGUCCAAAGGACAUAUUUGAGUGGACCUGGGCAACCGCAGCACCACAGUUUUUAAAAGAAGCUCAUGUCUUCUAGAUACCCCUUACCAUCUUCAGGAUAGUUUCAACACCCAUCCUGGCUAUCCUGUGCUUCAGUUCUCCUGGGACGCCUUGAGUAAGAUAACUGGAAAUGGGCUGACUCUCCUAAAAGAACAAAAAAGGCUGAGCCACUUCAUCCCGGGAAGAAAGCCAACCAGCCUGCUACCCAGCUUCAUGAGGAGCAGGUCUAUCUGCA